GCCUCGCCCCCUUGGCUGGAGGCACAACUUUCCUGGCCUCUGAGGGUCCUUUCCCUCCAUCGGUCUCUCAUGGACAGAAACAGCCGCAACCGGUAGCACUGGUUGAGCACUUAAGUGCCGUUAGGGUAGGUCGGUCGCGGAUUGGCAAGAUCGCGCUAGGCACCCCCGCGGUCGGUGCAACGGAGGCACGCUGUAGAAACACCCACCUCCAACCCUGCGGCAAAUCCCCAGUGUUUAACAUGUCCGUACAGGAGGCUUCCUUGCCCGCUACGCCUCUCUGUUUGCUCUCCCUGCCGCCAUGCGAGCAGCCUUGCUUAGCUUCGGCUUCCUUACAACCCAGGUAUUGUUCCUUUUCUUUGAUAGUGGGGCCCAGAAAUCUGUUCCCUCCUUCGCCACCGGGCGGACACUCCGCGGACGCUUUGAUUGUUGUAUUUGUGCUGGACACGAGUGGUUGGGAUUCAGCGCCUUUUCUUUCGGUCUCUGGUCGGGGAUCAAGCAAAUUUCUGCCUUUUUUUCCUGCCUCUUUAAACGUCUCGCUUUUUUUUGCCACUCUGCAAGUAAGACGUGAGGCCUGGGCCCCAGCGUGACUUGGACGGAAUGCAAGGGCAAUGAGACUGAGGACGUCCUCAGCCUUAGGCUCUACAGACCCCAUCCUGUAAAGGAUUACAGGGCCAAAUCCCCAGAUUGGAAACCCUGGCCUUGUGUUUCAUCCUUGAGGUCGACCCUAAAUAGGGCCAACAGGACUUGAGAGGAGGAUGGAAUUGGAAAGACGAUACCCAGGGGAAGGAUUCGCGCCUUCCGGGUGGGGCACACGAUGGGCAACCAAGUGCCUAUUCCUCAGGAUUCACCCUUAGGAUGCAUCUUAAAGAAUUGGGCUGAGUUUGAUCCCCAAUCUUUUGUCAUACAGCAUGGACACAAUAUAAACUCGGAGGAGAAAUUUGGCCUGUGAAUGGGAGUUUAAAUUAACAAUACCAUUCUCCAACUCCAUCUUUUCUGCUGAAAGAUGGGCAAAUGCAGUGAGAUUCCUUAUAUCCGAGCUGUUUUUGUCUUAAGGGAAAACCCUGAGCCCUGCAGGCCUUGCAGGAUAGACUCCGCUGUGUCUGCUCUGCUUAAUUUGUCUACCAAAGUUCCUCCCCUUCUCCCGGUGAUACUAACCAUCAGCUGGUGGACCAGCCCCGUCCCCUGGAGCCCCCUUCUAAGACAAAGGAGAGGCCAUUACCCCAUGGGCCCCUUCUUCACUAUACCCAACAUUAGAACCCUGUGAUGCCUCGCCCCCAUACUCAGGGUCCCUGGCUCUUCAAAGCUGUGCCCAUUCCAGGAGGUGAUCAGACCCUCUGGACUCCCCAUGAGGGCAAGGACCCCCCCACUUUCCAUGCAGAAUCUCAGUCGAAUAAAACAGGAGUUACGUAGAUUCUCAGAUGACCCUGAAAAACAUCUAGACCGAUUUAGGCACCUGACUGACCUUUGAGUUAACCUGGAAGGACAUUUAUUUUAUCUUUGCUCAGACACUCUCCCAGGCAACUAUAUAUGAAGCCGCCACUCAGCUGGGAGAUGGCCAGCAAAGGACGAGCCCCCAGCAAUAUCCCGUGGGAACAAUGGCCGUUCCCCAACCAGGACUGGAAUACUUCAGCAGGGCUAACAGCCACUUUCUCUUUUGCCUCGUUGAGGGAAUGAAACAGUGUAAAAUAAAACCUAUUAAUUACAGGCAACUGGCCACCACAGGGGCCACAGGAAAAUCCACCCUCCUUCUAUGCGGCGCUCAUAAAACAUAUUAACGUGGAUCCUGAUUCAGAGGCCAGGAAGCUAGUCUUAACUAUUUUAUUACCCAGGCUACCCCAGAUACAAGGAGGAAAAUACAAAAGAUGGCUUCGGGACCAAAUACGGCCCCCACCGAACUCCUGAAGGCUGCCUCCUCUGUCUUCUACCACCUAGACAGAGAGGCAGCGGAGAGGGAUCAAAAGAAAGAAAAGUAUGAAGAUAGGAGGCAGGCCCAAUUACUGGCAGCAUUACAGUCCGACAGCCAACUCCCCAUUGCCCCCGAGAGGCCCCCCCACCUCCCACAUGUGUUACCACUGUGGGAGGCCAGGACACAAGGAUUGCCGGGAGAAAGAGCCGUGUCCCUACUGCAAUAAGGUCGGCCACUGGAAAUGGGCUGCCCCAAGGUCUGAAGGAACCGUGGGUCGGCCCCUGACCACAUCACGGCCCUGAGCUGCAGGGGUCCUCAGCUGCGGCCGCUCCUGAAUCAAAGACCAUCAUCGUGGGGUCGGAUCCCAGGGCAACUCUGGACGCAGCAGCCAUCGAAGUACUCGACAUUGCUAGCUGGAUACGUCACUCGAGUCAAGCUGUGGAGAAGGGCGCCUUCAGAAGAAAACCCCACCACGGAAUACAUGUGUGGACCUCUAGAAGACCUUAAAUUCCUCUUUAGGAGAAGAAACCAACCUAAAGAUAAGUAGACGUCCCGGUGUCUGAUUGGUAUACUGGGCCUAGCUCGGCCUUUACUGGCUGUACUCCACCUCCCAGCUACAAAUUGCUCCCACGGGGGUAGAGCUACAAAUACCCUUGCCCUACUUAACAUGCCCUGAUACUUCCUUUUAGUGCGCCAAUCCUGUGCGCCCUCAGCCUAACCAGUCAACAUCCUUUAACUCCUGUUAUAAUAAGAUAGCCCAGUUAAUUCGCACCAAUAACUGCCGGGUAUGCCCGAAAAGAAAGUCACUAGAAGACGACAUCUCCCUAAUAGGCCUGCCCUUGUCAGUUAUACUAACCCAAGCCCAGUAUUCUAGGUUCUCCUACACCACCUAUACAGACACUCCAGCAAAAGGGGAAGGACCCUCACCUCUAAAUCCCAAAUGGUAUGGACCAGAGCAUACUGGGGAGGCAGGCAAAAAUCACUGAAAUAACUGGCAAAGCAAGUCUUUGUUCCCAAAAUCUGGAAGACAUAGGAACCUUCCUGGGAUCCCUUAGUAUUGCAGUCACACCCUGCAACUUCGAUCAGUCACUCCUCAUAAGAGACCCACACACUGAGAGUGACACGAUACUGAUGUAUGUUAUUUAGACGUGGGGGGAACAGCGAAGCCAGAGCCUCCACAUUUCACACCGAUUCUAUUCUACCCAUCAACAACUCUCAGUCAGAAGAAAGUGCCGGGAUAGGAUUGAGCUGGGAUGUCUAUUGAGCAAUACCAGUAGGUCAGCAGUGGGAGAUUCCCACUGCUCUCUUCUAACCCUGUGGUCCGGAACUGGGUGUGUCAGCAUCCUUAGCACACCCACAGCACAGCAGACCAGUUUCCACCCAGUCUGUGUAGAUGCCUUUUUCAAGGGAACAAGGCCUAGCUCCUUUAAAUCCUUGGGAGGCCCUGGGAUCGCUCUAUUCUAGCUCAAUUCUCCACUUUAAAGACCACAGAGAAGUACGCUUGCUUACAAGUGCCUAGCUCGGGUGUAUUCUUGAAGGGAACAGAUGGUGCUUCCCCAGAUGGCCCGAACCUGUACCUAACCUCACCCGUAAGGUAGAGGAGGGUUUGCACCAUUGUGUUAGCCCUUCCCACCAUCUGAGUCUGCAGCGCCCCUGACUUCCCCUUCCUGGGAAGCAUUCCACACCUCGGCUUCUUCCUGAAUCCAGCUGUGUACAAGAUGACAAGCUCUCGAAAUACCCACCUUUGUAGCUCUGGCCACUGACAACCCCACACUUACCCGUAAUGGCCUCAGGCACGCCUUUUCCCAGAGCCUUUUCUGAUUUGCUGGCUUUUCACAGCUAGAACGAGGCAUUAGAAACAUUUCACUGAUCAAGCAGACCACCUGGAAGGCCACCAUUGAGGCCCAGCAGUGAGCCCUAGACUCCCUAGCCCACUAGUCUUACAAAAUAGGAGACCCUUAGACGUGCUCGCUAUGGAAGCUGAAGCAAUCUGUGCCGUGCUAAAUUAAACUUAAAUGCUGUUUUUACUUAAACGCUUCUGGAAAGGUGGAAAAAAAGACAACAUUAAAAUUCUUGACAGUCUUCAAGAAUUCAUGAAAAUCAAGCCUCAAAUUCUUGGUUAAGAAGGCUACUUGGACCCCUAGCCAAUUGGGUCUGACCUUGGGUAACCCCUAUAGUUCCAUUACUAGUGCUAAUACUGAUCUGCCUUGUUUGGGCCUUGUCUGUUUAAUCUGUUAGAAUCCAUCAGACUUCAGAUGGUCCUCAGCCAAGGGUGUCAGCCAGUCAACGACGCUGUUCUAUUGGGGGACCUUUGGAUUGACCAUCCAGGACAAAUGAGCUGAGACCUGACAGUCAGCAAGAGGCAAGACCCUAGAAAAAAACAAAAAUCCCUCUACACCGUCAGCAGGAAGUAGCUAGGGAGAAACGAUGCCCCUUUUCCCAAAGAUUUUGGGGUCCCAACUCUUGAGGGGGAAAUGUCAGGUAGUAGCAGUAGGCAGAGGUGAGCAGUCCCGCCCCGUCUUGGACAAGAUCCUCCCAGUCCCCACCUAUCCCCUUGUCACCAGAUGGCAGAACAUUCCCCAAUCCCCUCCUAUUUGUGGUUGGUGUCUUGCCCUAUCAGGGCCAAACAAGAUGUACAAAGUUCAACAGGGCUUCCAGACCACCAACACAGGUUGACACAGGUGCAAUAAGACCCAAGAGGUGACCCAGAGUUUCCUCGGGGUUCAUUAUGCCCUAAUUAUAAUACAUUUACAUUGCAGUUUUCCCCUCCACUGCAGCCCUCUCUGGUUUCACUUAGGUACUUACCAGUAAGCCUUUGACACUAGGAAGGUUAUAUAACCUGAAACUGUCAAUCAAUAUGCCAAUCAAAUAAUGUAAGAAGGGGAGGGACUUUCCACCGUUAAGAAAAACAACCCUAAACCUAAUAGAGGGCUGCUGCUAGUUUCCAGACAGCCUGCUCUCCGCCCUUCUUAAGACUGUACUUUCACUUUGCUUAAUAAAUUCUUGCCUCUUCAUCUUACUACACUGAUGGACAGUGACUGCAUUGGGGUGUGGGUGGGGACUUGAUAAUAUGUGUAAAUGCAGUAACCACAUUGUUUUUCAUGUGAAACCUUCAUAAGAGUGUGUAUCAAUCAUACCUUAAUAAAAAUAAGUUAAAAAAUAAAUAAAUAAAAAAUAAAUUCCUGCCUCUUCAAACUACUCUGUCUGUUGAUUUAAUUCUUUCCUUCAAGAAGACAACCGAAGUUCGGGAGAUGUAUGUGGAAGAAUGGGUCACUCGGCACUGAUGGUGGGAAGAUACAGGUGCAUCCUUUAUGACAAGCAAUCUGGCAAUACUUUGAGAAAUUAAAUAUGAGGAUGCCUGAUAACUCAGUGACCCCUUGGACUCUCCAGGAUCCACAUGUGAAGUCUAUAUGAGGAUGAGCACUGAAUACAGUUUAGGCAGCAUGGAGUUGGAGGGAAUUCGUCAUCCAUCAUUAAGGCUUCAGAAAUGGAAUGUGGAGUACCCCGCAGCAAUAUACUAAAGAGAGAAGCUAAUGUCAAGGAACUGCUUAGUAAAUGUCCGGUGCUAAAUGCUUUAACGUGACAGUGUGCAACGAGCCAUUAUUUAACAAUCCCAGCAAGUGAAGCCCAGAGAGGUUAAGUAACUUGCCCAAGGUCACUGAGCAAUUGAGCAGCCUGACCAGGACUUAAACCCAAGCCACCUCUCAGAGUCCUCAUCAAGAGCUAGAAAUAAACAUAGCCACCUAGAGAGCUUUCAGAAAGCACAAUGAAAGAAAGAUCAUGAGGUUUGUAGCUUGGUGACAUUUUUGCAAAUUUAGAACACAUACAACAAAACUACUUUAAGGAUACAUAUACAUGGAUCUUAUUCAAAGAUAAGGAUUGGAGGCCAGAUAUUAAGCAUGCUAGAGUGGGUUCCUCUGGAAGUGAGGGAGAUGC